AUUGCUUCUUGGCCUUUGGGCUAAGAUCAAGUGUAGUAUCUGUUCUUAUCAGAAGAGGGUUCCAAAACCCAUGAGAUGGGAUAAUGACACCAAGAAGUUGAUGCAGUUAGAAAUGAGAAGUUCA
rnacentral:snRNA from 1 species